GAUGAACGCUGGCGGCGUGCCUAAUACAUGCAAGUAGAACGCUGAAGGAAGGAGCUUGCUCUUUCCGGAUGAGUUGCGAACGGGUGAGUAACGCGUAGGUAACCUGCCUGGUAGCGGGGGAUAACUAUUGGAAACGAUAGCUAAUACCGCAUAACAGUAGAUGUUGCAUGAUAUCUACUUAAAAGGUGCAAUUGCACCACUACCAGAUGGACCUGCGUUGUAUUAGCUAGUUGGUGAGGUAACGGCUCACCAAGGCGACGAUACAUAGCCGACCUGAGAGGGUGAUCGGCCCAACUGGGACUGAGACACGGCCCAGACUACUACGGGAGGCAGCAGUAGGGAAUCUUCGGCAAUGGACGGAAGUCUGACCGAGCAACGCCGCGUGAGUGAAGAAGGUUUUCGGAUCGUAAAGCUCUGUUGUAAGAGAAGAACGAGUGUGAGAGUGGAAAGUUCACACUGUGACGGUAUCUUACCAGAAAGGGACGGCUAACUACGUG
rnacentral:rRNA from 1 species